CCAUGGAAACCCCUGGCAGCGCGCCCUGGGCGGGGCCUCCGAGGGGCGGGGUCUGGUGCGCGGCAGGCCCGAGUGCACAACUCCCGCCCGUCGGGCGUACGCGGCGUUUACCUCAGCCCCGCUGCUCGGGGUUUGCCCGAUUCCCGCUCGGCCCUGCACCCCAGCACCCAGGAGCAACAGCCCCAGGAGCAACAGACCCGGGAGCCCGCGCCCCCGCCGUCAUCACUAGCCUGUUUCCCCGCGGAACCCCACCUUCUCCAGGAAGACGGGGCUGGAAGGACGCAUGGAGUGCGGCGGGGCGGACCCUCAGUGACCCGCUCGGGUGGCGAGGCGGCGAGGGCACCAUUGUGACGCGCCCGGCUCCGAGCGGAAAUUGGUCAGCCAAGCGUGUGGGGGAGCCGGGGCCCGCGGAGGGGGGCCGGAGGGGAGCGGUGCGGCAGAGCGUUCCUGAGCCCCUGAAGGGGCAGACUGAAAAGCACCCCAAACAUUGAGCCCAAAAGACGCCUAGAUCGAAGACCACCGUGAGAGGAGAAAAAGGGAGUCAUUUCCUGCCGAGGGAGAAAGGGAACCGAGAACAGCGGAGACAUAAAGGCGGCUCCAAGGGCAGAGUUUGAGGAGCGGGCGCAGGCUGUGCUCCCAGCUCUUGGGUCGCUACUCCGCGUUGUCGCGUAGCUUCACCUGGCUCCCGGUUCCCCCGGAGGGCAGGGCUUUGGCCUCAGGCCUGGUUCUGGGAGACGAAGUGCCGGGGCCGAGAUGUUCAUUGCGGGAGAAACGCGCCAGUUCGAUGUCAUUUGAGUUCCUGCUACAUCCAGGCCACCCGUGUUUUUUGCUCGAAAUGAGACAGACUGAACUUGUCAGCCCUUGGUGCAGCACUAAGAAAAGCAGCUCUGAGAGCCACGGUUGGUAGCCGGCCUGGAUGCCCUCCCUGAUGAACGAGAAACCAUGAAGAAAGGACAAAGGGCAGGAAUAAUUGCAGUAGGUGGUUAUCCCAAUAUUCAGAAGAGGGGGAGCAUGAAGGAAGCCUUGUUAACACUUUUAGGUACAUCCUUGUAGAAAUUUUUAAUGUAUGUAGAUAUAUAUUGCACAUUUGAUGUAAAUACCAAAAUACAUCAUUUUAGGAAAAUGUACACAAGACCACUCUUUUUAAAAAAAAAAAAGAUUUCUGCUAGGAGCGCCU